rnacentral:lncRNA from 1 species
GAAAUUUUCAAUACAAUAGUGCAUUUUUAAUCCGCAAAAAAUGUUACAAUGGUAGUAUCUAUGCACACAAUAAUAUAAACAUGUAGGAGGUGUGUGUUCACAUUUUUGGAAAUGGACAGAACAAAGGGGAAGAAGCCUGCACCUCAAUACUCAGGGCAGAGACAGGCUUCUUCCCCUUUGUUCUGUCCAUUUCCAAAAAUGUGAACACACACCUCCAACAUGUUUCUGUGUAUAUUAUUGUGUGCAUAGAUACUACCAUUGUAAAAUAUUAUGCAGAUUAAUAAUGCACUAUGCCAUUGAAAAUUUCAAAAG